UGAUCCUGGCUCAGGAUGAACGCUGGCGGCGUGCCUAAUACAUGCAAGUCGAGCGAACAGACGAGGAGCUUGCUCCUCUGACGUUAGCGGCGGACGGGUGAGUAACACGUGGAUAACCUACCUAUAAGACUGGGAUAACUUCGGGAAACCGGAGCUAAUACCGGAUAAUAUAUUGAACCGCAUGGUUCAAUAGUGAAAGACGGUUUUGCUGUCACUUAUAGAUGGAUCCGCGCCGCAUUAGCUAGUUGGUAAGGUAACGGCUUACCAAGGCAACGAUGCGUAGCCGACCUGAGAGGGUGAUCGGCCACACUGGAACUGAGACACGGUCCAGACUCCUACGGGAGGCAGCAGUAGGGAAUCUUCCGCAAUGGGCGAAAGCCUGACGGAGCAACGCCGCGUGAGUGAUGAAGGUCUUCGGAUCGUAAAACUCUGUUAUUAGGGAAGAACAAAUGUGUAAGUAACUAUGCACGUCUUGACGGUACCUAAUCAGAAAGCCACGGCUAACUACGUGCCAGCAGCCGCGGUA
rnacentral:rRNA from 1 species